GCAGGAAUGGCGGAAUUGGCAGACGCGCAAGCUUCAGGUGCUUGUGGCUAUUGCAGUCGUGAGGGUUCAAGUCCCUUUUCCUGCA
rnacentral:tRNA from 1 species